AGAGCUAAUACGUGCAACAAACCCCGACUUUUGGGAGGGGCGCAUUUAUUAGAUAAAAGGCUGACGUGGGCUCUGCUCGCUGAUCCGAUGAUUCAUGAUAACUCGACGGAUCGCAUGGCCUUUGUGCCGGCGACGCAUCAUUCAAAUUUCUGCCCUAUCAACUUUCGAUGGUAGGAUAGGGGCCUACCAUGGUGGUGACGGGUGACGGAGAAUUAGGGUUCGAUUC
rnacentral:ncRNA from 1 species